rnacentral:rRNA from 1 species
CCUACGGGUGGCAGCAGUGGGGAAUUUUGCGCAAUGGGCGAAAGCCUGACGCAGUAACGCCGCGUGAAGGAUGAAGGCCUUCGGGUUGUAAACUUCUGACUGGGGGAAAGAUCAUGACGGUACCCCCAAAGAAAGCCCCGGCUAAUUCCGUGCCAGCAGCCGCGGUAAUACGGAAGGGGCAAGCGUUGUUCGGAAUCAUUGGGCGUAAAGGGCGUGUAGGCGGUUUCAUAUGUCCGCUGUGAAAGAACACGGCUCAACCGUGUCAAGCGGCGGAAACUGUGAGACUUGAGGCUGGGAGGGGCUGGUGGAAUUCCCUGUGUAGCGGUGAAAUGCGUAGAGAUGGGGGAGAACACUCGUGGCGAAGGCGGCCAGCUGGACCAGUUCUGACGCUGAGACGCGAAAGCGUGGGGAGCAAACAGGAUUAGAUACCCCUGUAGUC